AGCCUGCGCCGGAGCCGCGGUCUGAGUCCGGGUCGCGCGGGAGAGGAACUCAUCGAGUUGCGGGUGCGGCCGGUGCUCAGCCGGCCAGGUUCCGGUAUCCCGCUGCCGCGCGCCCUGGAG
ensembl:miRNA Mir1199 microRNA 1199